UCGAGGACGGACGCUGGCGGCGUGCCUAACACAUGCAAGUCGAGCGGGACAUGCGACGGAGACGAAGUUUCGGAUGGAGUCGAAGAUGUAUGUUCUAGCGGCGGACGGGUGAGUAACGCGUGAGCAACCUGUCCCUUACAGGGGGAUAACACAGCGAAAGUUGUACUAAUACCGCAUAAGACCACAGUAUCACAUGGUACAGGGGUCAAAGGAGCAAUCCGGUAAGGGGUGGGCUCGCGUCCGAUUAGAUAGUUGGUGAGGUAACGGCCCACCAAGUCGACGAUCGGUAGCCGACCUGAGAGGGUGAUCGGCCACAUUGGGACUGAGACACGGCCCAAACUCCUACGGGAGGCAGCAGUGGGGAAUAUUGGGCAAUGGGGGGAACCCUGACCCAGCAACGCCGCGUGAGGGAAGAAGGUUUUCGGAUCGUAAACCUCUGUCCUUGGUGAAGAGGAAGAGACGGUAGCCAAGGAGGAAGCCCCGGCUAACUACGUGCCAGCAGCUGC
rnacentral:rRNA from 1 species